rnacentral:rRNA from 1 species
UUGACCUCAAAUCAGGUAGGAUUACCCGCUGAACUUAAGCAUAUCAAUAAGCGGAGGAAAAGAAACUAACAAGGAUUCCCCUAGUAACUGCGAGUGAAGCGGGAAAAGCUCAAAUUUAAAAUCUGGCGGUCGUUGGCCGUCCGAGUUGUAAUCUAGAGAAGUGUUACCUGUGCUGGACCGUGUACAAGUCUCCUGGAAUGGAGCAUCAUAGAGGGUGAGAAUCCCGUCUUUGACAUGGACUGCCUGUACAUGACGGUGCGCUCUCAAAGAGUCGAGUUGUUUGGGAAUGCAGCUCAAAAUGGGUGGUAAAUGCCAUCUAAAGCUAAAUAUUGGCGAGAGACCGAUAGCGAACAAGUACCGUGAGGGAAAGAUGAAAAGAACUUUGGAAAGAGAGUUAAACAGUAUGUGAAAUUGCUGAAAGGGAAACGCUUGAAGUCAGUCGCGUUGGCUAGAAAUCAGCCUUGCUCUUGCUUGGUGUACUUUCUUUGUCGACGGGUCAGCAUCAGUUUUGACCAUUGGAGAAGGACAUUGGGAAUGUGGCAUCCUUGGAUGUGUUAUAGCCCAUUGUCGCAUGCGAUGGUUGGGAUUGAGGAACUCAGCACGCCGCAAGGCCGGGUCUCUGACCACGUUCGUGCUUAGGAUGCUGGCAUAAUGGCUUUAAUCGACCCGUC